rnacentral:rRNA from 1 species
AUUGAACGCUGGCGGCAGGCCUAACACAUGCAAGUCGGGCGAGCGGCGGACGGGUGAGUAAUGUAUGGGGAUCUGCCUGAUGGAGGGGGAUAACUACUGGAAACGGUAGCUAAUACCGCAUACCAUCAGAUGAACCCAUAUGGGAUUAGCUUGUAGGUGAGGUAACGGCUCACCGAGGCGACGAUCCCUAGCUGGUCUGAGAGGAUGCUACGCCACCCUGGGACGAACACACUGCCCAGCCUCCAUCGGGAGGCAGCAGUGGUGAAUAUUGCCCAAUGGGGACAACCCUGACGCAGCCGUGCCGCUUGAAUGUAGAAGGCCUUCGGGUUAUAAAGUUCUUUCGGUGGCGAGACUUUCACUUCAAAAGAACCACCGGCUAACUCCGUGCCAGCCGCCCCGGUAAUAC